UGAGGCAUGGGAGCUGACAGGCUCUAUCACAAUACUGAAGAGGUGCCAAUGUAUGUCACCGAUUUUUAUCCCAUCUGAUGAGGUCAUAAGAGAGGAGGCAUCAUAAUGUAUGACUGUGAAAGCAGUGAGACUGAGGGAAAGUCAACAAAAAGUGCUUAAGAGGUUUUCCAUAAGGAGAUACAGUCUUUCAUUGAGGCAUAGCAAGAAGACACACUGGCCUUUCAGAAAUAGGACUGGUCUGCAUAUGUUCUGGAGAGUCUCUCCAUGUUUUGAUACCAAGGACAUCAAUGGAGCUCAUAUCUGAGUCAGUUUCUACAUGUGGACAAUAUGUAUGAUACUCAGAAGAAAACCUAGCAUUACCAAGGAGGUGGAAUUCAAGGUGGAACAGAAUGUGAGGAGGAGGAAACAGAAGGAAUGCACUAGAUGCAACAAGAGAGAACCUGUAACUGUUUGGUAGGUCUUUGCAUGGGUGGCAAUCCUGCUGGCUUGAGAAGGAUCUGAGAUUUCUAUAAAGACCUAGAAACAUAGAAUCACAGAGUUGGAAGAGACCACAUGGGCCAUCUAGUCCAACCACUUGUCAUGCAGGAAAAGCACAAUAAAAACACCCUUGAUGGAUGA